rnacentral:rRNA from 1 species
AUUGAACGCUGGCGGCAGGCCUAACACAUGCAAGUCGAGCGAGCGGCGGACGGGUGAGUAAUGUCUGGGGAUCUGCCCGAUAGAGGGGGAUAACUACUGGAAACGGUAGCUAAUACCGCAUACUCUCGGAUGUGCCCAGAUGGGAUUAGCUAGUAGGUGGGGUAAUGGCUCACCUAGGCGACGAUCCCUAGCUGGUCUGAGAGGAUGAUCAGCCACACUGGGACUGAGACACGGCCCAGACUCCUACGGGAGGCAGCAGUGGGGAAUAUUGCACAAUGGGCGCAAGCCUGAUACAGCCAUGCCGCGUGUAUGAAGAAGGCCUUCGGGUUGUAAAGUACUUUCAGUGGGGAGGCGUUACCGGCAGAAGAAGCACCGGCUAACUCCGUGCCAGCCGCCGCGGUAAUAC